AUCCAAACUGAGCCUGUGUUCAGUAUCUGAUACUGUAUGAGGACUUCACAUGCUUCUUAUUUAACUUUUACAAUCUAAUAGUACCUAUGGGGUAGAAAUUAUUAGCACCAUUUUGCAGAUGAGGACAAUCAAGUUCUGAGCAUCAUAUAACAUCAUACAACACAGAAAUGUUAUUGCUCUACAGUUCUUAGCAGUCCCUUUCACCUUCUGGAUUCUGAUCGAACACUGUACUACUGUACACUGUCACACUGUACAGCAGCAAAACUAUGACAAUGUCCGGCAGACAUGAAUGUUUCACAUCUAUGUCUGCUGUCCCUUGGAUCUGUUCAUCCAGAAGUCGUAAAAGUCAGACUAGAUUCUGUUAUCAGUGAAGGCUGGCUGGACCUGCCAUUCUCCACUUUUCCACCCAGACAUGAAAGGCAGAAGUCAAGGAUCACACACACUAGAGGAAAAAUGUGGAUCGAAGACAGAUUUUGAGUGAAGCUGAGGAUGCUGGAAAAUGGAUCAGAUGUAGACCUAAUUGCCUGUUGUUUACCUUCUGUGGCCACAAUUUGGUCUGCUUUCCAAAACUACUCAUUAAAUCUUAACCUUCAGGAUAUACUCUCUUCUCCCCAGGGAGCACUGCAACACUAACAAGCAUUUGCUUGAAAGGUCAGUUUUCAGUACACAUUUUUCUCAAAUAAAACCUGCC
rnacentral:lncRNA from 1 species